rfam:Lacimicrobium alkaliphilum strain YelD216, complete genome.
UUGACCCGCUGAAUUAGUGAUCGGCAGGUCUGGUUUAAUGCCCAAGAGCAAUCAGGAGAAUAGUAUGUCACUAACUAAAGAAGAAACCGCAAACCUUAUCGCCGAAUACGGUGUAAAAGAA